AGCCGCCAAGCGCAGCCCGCGGAGAGGGGUGCCGCGGCUUCCCGCCCCUGGCCUAGCGCGGCCGAGAGCUCCUGCGCCUGGAGGCUGGGUGGGCGUCCGGCGCGCGGGAGGCGGCCCGGGGCUCCCGGGCGGGCUCCGGCAGGUGUGUGCGGAAGGCUCAGCAUCGUCCCCGCCCGGCGGGCCACGGCGUCGCUCCGGGAGCAAAUGGUGUCCCGGGGCCCGCGGCCCCCGCGCCGCCCGGGCGCCCCGCAUUCCUCUCGCGUUUCUCGGGCUGCACGAUUCCGGCUGCCCUGUCUGCCUGGCGGUGCCUCUCGGGUCUGAGCUUAAAGCGGGUGGGUGCAAACCUUUGGGCAUCCAGGGAGAGCUUUCUUGUUAGAGCCCACACACAAUCGGGCGCAUCAAGUGGGUAAGUCCCCCUCCCCCGCCGCCACCUUCUGAAACAAGUAGCUCUUAUUUACCCUUGCAGUUCUCAAGUGGGUCCCAUUUUUAGCCACUGAGUGCUGAAAAGUCUAGUGGGAAGGGACCAGGCGUAGAGUCGGAGGGAGAAAUUGGUUUCUAUUUCCAUCUUUACCUCUGUAACCCCUAAGUGCCUCGGUUUACCCAGCCAUGAAAUGGGAUUCGUAAUGCCAGCAGUUUCCUACCCCUCCAAGACGGCAGAAAAACCUCUGUGAAAACACUUUGAGUCUAAAUUCAUUUAAGAGUCGCUGUUGCUGGUCUGUAUAUUUUUAAUUGUACACACAUUUGAGUGUUAAUGUGGUGCACACUUUUAUAUGAAAUUAUGAAAUUUACUUUAAAGACUGAUCUUGGAUAAUGUUUAAUCCAAAUACCAGUUUGGAGAAGAUGGAAGAGUUUGUGUGGACCCUAGGAAUUGAUGUGUGAAAUAGGAAAAAAGAUUUAAUAAAAUCUUUACGCAGUCAUAAAUGGAGUUGAGAAAAAUUGACCUUGGAUUGUGGUGUUUUAAGUGAGUUACUCCCGUGCCAGCGCAUGGUGUCGAUUGAAAUGUAGCUUCAUCUUUGUGUAGCCGAUUAAGGUAAUAAGUUAGAGAAUCCCAGCUCCCUUUUAAUUGUGCUAUAUAUGAGGAAUUUUUAUCCUUGCUUAUCUUUUCCUUAAAUUGGGCGAAACGAAAUUAGAAAAGUGUAUUCCCGCCGUGUUAGAAAAUAUGAAAGAAUGGGUGAAGAACCAUGGAUUUUAGUUUAUUUGCCACGCCCCUCCUGUGCCAUCUGAUAACCCAGAGAAUAUUUUGAGGGUGCUUCUUUUUUUUUCUACGCCUGCAACUCCUUUUGUCCCAUUACCUCCCUCUGGAGUUUGAAUCUUUACUGUCCUCAUCCUUGAGAUGAAUUUUAUCUGUUUAGGCUGGAUGCCUCUGACCCAGCUGCCCAAUCAGUCAUUAUUUAUUUACAGUAUUAGAUUUCCAUUUAUAUUCAUUUCACUCUAAGCCUUCUUUACCCUGGUGGAAAGAAUAAUGGGUCUUUGCUACUAAUGCUUUAUACUUGGAGGUGAACUAGGAAUGGCAUGCUCAAGGUGCUGAGACUAAUGCAAACCCCAGGGAAGCUAGGUCUUCACUGGAGUCUUCUGAAUAGGUCCUGGAGUACAGAUGCAAGAGUUGGCCUGUCUUUUCCUUGAUUUUCUGAAAUCUCCACUGGGUAAAUUCAUCUGAUUGCCAAGGGAAGUCUUAUGAGCAGGGAGCUAUCAGAAAUCUGAGUGUUAGACUGAUUAAGAGCCUUCCCUGCAAAAGACUGGGGAGAAAGAAGUAGUGGCUUUGUAGGUGUUGGAGAGUCCUCCCUGUAACCAGAUAACUAGUAGGAAGUAAAGGAUCCCUAGAUUCCCAAUUGAGAAAUGGGAAAGGGGCUGGGUUUCAAAAGGGAAGUGGCACAGCUUCUAGGCAGGUUUGGGAAUGUACCUGAGGUUUGAUGGGCCCUUCUCCCUCUUUCUCUUUGAGAGUGUUUCUGGCUCCUCAGAGUCAAGCACAGCUGUCUUAACAGUUUUCAGACCUGUUUACUCUCCUCUUUGGUGCUCUAAAGGAGGCCCAGCGUUCAUGUUCCUCUCUCAAAGCUGGUCUUGCAUGUAUUAGAGGAAAAUGGGCAGUUUAGUUUGUAAGAAACUCUUUAGACCUCAGUGUCUCUCCCCACCCUUCUUUCCAAAUUAGUCCCACAUCCUACAGAUUAAGGAUUUGUUUGGGCUUCAAUAUCUCAAACUGGGAUACUCAGUUUGGCUGAGAAGAGUAAACUGAACAGUCUACACUAAGAUAUGAAAAGCUAGCUUUUCUGUUAAGGAAGAUAAUGAAUUAAUUGUCUGGGUGAGAAUUAUGGGCAUUUGGACAAAGGAGGGCCAGACUGGGGGUGGAGUUGUGCUGGACAACUUGUGCCCUCGUCCUUGAGAGAGGAAAGGAUACCACCAAACUAGUGCAGUCACCCUGUUGUGCUUUUUCUUCUUCCAUUUGCCUUGAGAGAAGAAGAAGAUAGCAGUAUGGAGGUGGAGUCACCAUCUGUUCUCAAGGAUGGGAAACAGACUUUAACUGAACAUUAGGAAUGAGCUGUAUUCACCUGGCAUUGGUAUCAGGCGCUGGAUGGAUUACACCAGAGAAUACAUUACAUUAGGAAACACAGUGCCUGGCUCAUGGUGGACCAGAGACAGAUGGAUGGACUGUUUUUUGAUGUGAAGACUGAAUUAGCCCUGGCAGUGCUGUUUCCCAGGGCCCUAUCUCUGGGAGUCCUCCUGCUGGAAGGGAAGUGCUCUCAUAGCUGAUAGUUAAGACAUGUACAGUCAUGCAUUGCUUAACAAUGGGGAUACAUUCUAAGAAAUGUGUCCUUAACACAAUUUUAUCAUUGUGUGAACAUCAUAGAGUGCACUUAACACAAACCUAGAUGGAAUAGCCUACCAC
rnacentral:lncRNA from 1 species